CAAUAGCGUAUAUUAAAGUUGUUGCGGUUAAAAAGCUCGUAGUUGGAUUUCUGCCGAGGACGACCGGUCCGCCCUCUGGGUGAGUAUCUGGCUCGGCCUGGGCAUCUUCUUGGAGAACGUAGCUGCACUUGACUGUGUGGUGCGGUAUCCAGGACUUUUACUUUGAGGAAAUUAGAGUGUUUCAAGCAGGCUUACGCCUUGAAUACAUUAGCAUGGAAUAAUAAGAUAGGACCUCGGUUCUAUUUUGUUGGUUUCUAGAGCUGAGGUAAUGAUUAAUAGGGAUAGUUGGGGGCAUUCGUAUUUAACUGUCAGAGGUGAAACUCUUGGAUUUGUUAAAGACGGACUACUGCGAAAGCAUUUGCCAAGGAUGUUUUCAUUGA
rnacentral:rRNA from 1 species